rnacentral:rRNA from 1 species
AACGAACGCUGGCGGCAGGCUUAACACAUGCAAGUCGAGCGCCCCGCAAGGGGAGCGGCAGACGGGUGAGUAACGCGUGGGAAUCUACCGAGCCCUAAGGAAUAGCUCCGGGAAACUGGAAUUAAUACCUUAUACGCCCUUUUGGGGAAAGAUUUAUCGGGGUUUGAUGAGCCCGCGUUGGAUUAGCUAGUUGGUGGGGUAAAGGCCUACCAAGGCGACGAUCCAUAGCUGGUCUGAGAGGAUGAUCAGCCACAUUGGGACUGAGACACGGCCCAAACUCCUACGGGAGGCAGCAGUGGGGAAUAUUGGACAAUGGGCGCAAGCCUGAUCCAGCCAUGUCGCGUGAGUGAUGAAGGCCCUAGGGUUGUAAAGCUCUUUCACCGGUGAAGAUAAUGACGGUAACCGGAGAAGAAGCCCCGGCUAACUUCGUG